CUGUAUGUACCCUGUAGAUCCGAAUUUGUGUAAGCACAAUCAUAUCACAAAUUCGUGUCUGGGGGGAUAUGCAGU
rfam:Xenopus laevis strain J chromosome 9_10S, whole genome shotgun sequence.